AGUGAACGCUGGCGGUAGGCCUAACACAUGCAAGUCGAACGGCAGCACAGUAAGAGCUUGCUCUUACGGGUGGCGAGUGGCGGACGGGUGAGGAAUACAUCGGAAUCUACUUUUUCGUGGGGGAUAACGUAGGGAAACUUACGCUAAUACCGCAUACGACCUACGGGUGAAAGCAGGGGAUCUUCGGACCUUGCGCGAUUGAAUGAGCCGAUGUCGGAUUAGCUAGUUGGCGGGGUAAAGGCCCACCAAGGCGGCGAUCCGUAGCUGGUCUGAGAGGAUGAUCAGCCACACUGGAACUGAGACACGGUCCAGACUCCUACGGGAGGCAGCAGUGGGGAAUAUUGGACAAUGGGCGAAAGCCUGAUCCAGCCAUACCGCGUGGGUGAAGAAGGCCUUCGGGUUGUAAAGCCCUUUUGUUGGGAAAGAAAAGCAGCAGGUUAAUACCCCGCUGUUCUGACGGUACCCAAAGAAUAAGCACCGGCUAACUUCGUG
rnacentral:rRNA from 1 species